rnacentral:lncRNA from 1 species
GGAGAGCCCGAUGUGAGGAGGAGCUCUAGGUGGAGGUGGAUCGGAUACGAGACGGGAGACUCAGAAAGAUAAGAGGCAACAUCGAAGAAUGAAGUUCCUAUUGUCGUAGGAGACUUUUUCGAGCAAGUCUUUAGUCAGAGUGGACACAACCCAUGAUGAAGGUAGGAUUGAGCAGUCUAGCUCGACUCUCACAUUUGCCUAUCCAUGAGAUAUUAGGCAUGCCCCAAGAUUCAGGGAUGAGACAGAUCACAGGCUCUUAGAGACAGAUGGAGGCUGAACAUCGAGUUGAGGUGGAGAUUGUUGAAAAAAAUACCUCAAGAUUUAGUCUACAAUAAGCCUAGGACAAGAUCUAGAAUCACGAACGAAAUCCAAUGAGUCCAAGAAUGGUCCAAACGGAGUCCAGACGGAGAACAUACGCAUG